rnacentral:lncRNA from 1 species
AGUUUCCCAAAGAUCUGACUGAGCUGAAAAUGGACCAUGCUCACCAAGACCACUGGUAAAAACUUUGGGUAUAUUAACCAGAAUUAUUUUUAAAUUUCUGGCCACACUGCCAAAAUCUUGCUGAACUUUGGGUUUUCUUGACUUUGUGGAAGUGUUUCUUUCAUGGAACUGCUGGGAUCAAAACUGCAUCUGUCUUAGGGAUGCAGAUUGUGGCUGGGAAAUGAGAUGUGUCUUAACUUAAAGAAUGUCUGAGCUUCUUCAGAGUAGCUCAGUUUAAAAUGUUUUCUUAUUGACUGAUUGAGAUGUGCAAGCGGCUGCCACCUGACUUGUAAAAAUGGAUUUUCAAGUGUAUUUGUUUUUUAGAUAGCUUCAUACUGAGUGAAGGAAUACAUAGCCUGGAAUUUCCUCUAAUUAUAAGCCUAAUCCAGUUAGUGCACAAAUCUGGCAGAUAUUUUAGUGUAAUACAAAUUAAUGUUUUCGUUUGCUUCACCUGAUUUGUUUAGUUGAAACUUAAAUGUGUUUUAAAUGUGAAUUUUUAGUAACUAUGUAUCAAUUGCAACGAUCAACAAUUUUUUGGAGAAAUCUGGUAGCUUUACUCUCCUAUAACCUUGCAUGUUUUUGAAAUAUUUUCUACUAUGAUUGCAAAAUGAUACUACUCUUCAACUGACAAAUCACCUUCAUCCUUUAUCAAAAACAUCUUCCUCUAAGAAGCCUAGUUUCAGUUUGGCAGAAGAGAGAGGCUAUACGUUUUUAAGGGGUGACAAUAUGCUUUUAGCUCAGCCAAGCCUGGUUUAUUAGACCUUCAAUUAAAAUAAUGAGUUCAAUGGCUAUUUAGUUUAUUAGUGUUUGUAGUAGUAGUGAUGGUAGUAGUGGUAGUAGUACUACUAAUUACAUUUAUUGGGCACUGGGUAAGACUAAGUAAAAUUAGCUAGGUCAUCUCAUUUAAUCCUCAUAGCAAUUCUGUGAGGCAGGCAUUAUUAUUAUCCCCAUUCUAAGAUGAGGAAAC